rnacentral:rRNA from 1 species
UACAGAGGGUGCGAGCGUUAAUCGGAAUUACUGGGCGUAAAGCGUGCGCAGGCGGUUUUGUAAGCCAGGGGUGAAAUCCCCGGGCUCAACCUGGGAAUGGCAUUUGGGACUGCAAGGCUGGAGUGCGGCAGAGGAGACUGGAAUUCCUGGUGUAGCAGUGAAAUGCGUAGAUAUCAGGAGGAAUACCGAUGGCGAAGGCAGGUCUCUGGGCUGACACUGACGCUCAUGCACGAAAUCGUGGGGAGCAAACAGG